GUACACAUCCUUACAGGAACAUUUUCCAGUUAAAAAAAAAAACUCUCUUAUUUUGAAAUUAAGUUUCUAUGGGUGUACUCAGGUUAAUUCUUAUUUUAGAAAAUAUCUUGUACUGAAUUUUAUGAUUUCUUUACCUUUACAGUAUUAAUUUCAGUACCUAAAAUAAUUCUAAAACAGAGCACCUGGACAACUUUAGCACUUAUCUUUAAAUCUGGGAUUAGAGAAUUGAUCUUGAAGCCUCCCUAGUCUGAGUGCACUAGCACUGCCAACAGUGAGCCAACCCGAUCAGUUAGAAAGACUUCAGCAAGUCUCUCACAAUGUCAUAGUCUAGCUGGGCUCACUUUUCUUAGCCCUUGUACUUGUUUGAUCCAUGAGUAAUCCAUGUUUUAUGUGGGAGAGGAAUAGCAAGAAAAGAGCUCGUUUAAGUCAAGAGUAGAAAAAAACGCACAAAUUUUGAAGUACAUUGUACUGAGAGUAUUUUUUAUUUUUUUUUUAGGAGAGUCUGUGGCCUUUGGAAGUGAAUCACCUUUGGAAGGGAAUGACCAGGACAACCUGAAACAGGUGAAGAGGUGGUCAGCCCAGCUUACUUUUUCCUUCUGUGCGGUGUCAUCACAAAACCCUCUAUUGUUUUUCAUCUCUUGUGACCACACUGUUAAGAAAGACCAGAUGACUGAGCAGUGCUACUGCAUUCAAUGCUGACAUGGCGGCCCCACGACCAACAAGAAGCUCCUUGUGACAGCUCCACCACUGCAAACCUGUGCUAGGCUGUGGGCCUGCUAAGAACAGAAAGCCAGACAUAAACAGAAAUAGGAUAUAGGGCACAAAAGGGAUCCAGGUACAGAAAAAUUUAUUUCUCUAAUUUCUCUUGCUUGCAGCUAUGUUCAACUAUUCUUCUCUAAAGCAAUGUUUAGUACAGUUCUGCUCACCAAAUGGAGUAUGGUUAGAGGAUCUGUGAGCACAGCUAUUUGGAAGGUUUAUAACAACUUCUGAUUUCCUGUGAUUGACUGGUGAAAGGUUAGAGGAACAUGAAAACACCACGCAAAAUGUGGGUGGAUAUUCCCCUUUCAAGUACUGUUCUAAGGAGCUUCCAAUUCUGGCUUACUGUAUCUAAAUCGAUUCCAAUCUGGUAGUGAAUGUAGUCUGUCCCUAGUGGAGUUGUUUCAGAAAAAUUUCUGAAGAAGAAUUGUUCAAGCCUUCUUUUCUUAAAGGAAAAUAAUGAGGCUUUAUAAUACCUGGCUUAGCUCAAUAUUUUACACUAAAACAGGAAACAUCUAUACUCAUGUCAAAUUUUUCUUUUUCCGUAAUAGUAACAAGCAGGAAAGAAUAAAAUAAGGGAAAAUAUGUAGACA
rnacentral:lncRNA from 1 species